GCUUACGGCCACACCACCCUGAACGCGCCCGAUCUCGUCCGAUCUCGGAAGCUAAGCAGGUUGGGCCUGGUUAGUACUUGGAUGGGAGACCGCCUGGGAAUACCAGGUGCUGUAAGCU
rnacentral:rRNA from 1 species